AAUACAUGCAAGUCGAACGAUAUUUCCAGCUGCUGGAAGAAAAAGUGGCGCACGGGUGCGUAACGCGUAUGUAAUCUGGGGGAUAGCCCGAAGAAAUUCGGAUUAACACCGCAUAACAUCAGGGGAUAGCAUUAUCUUCUGAUCAAAUAUUUAUAGGAUUAAGAUGGGCAUGCGUGUCAUUAGCUAGUUGGCGGGGUAACGGCCCACCAAGGCGACGAUGACUAGGGGAUCUGAGAGGAUGACCCCCCACACUGGUACUGAGACACGGACCAGACUCCUACGGGAGGCAGCAGUAAGGAAUAUUGGUCAAUGGAGGCAACUCUGAACCAGCCAUGCCGCGUGCAGGAAGACAGCCCUCUGGGUCGUAAACUGCUUUUAUUCGGGAAUAAACCUAUCUACGAGUAGAUAGCUGAAUGUACCGAAGGAAUAAGGAUCGGCUAACUCCGUGCCAGCAGCCGCGGUAAUACGGAGGAUCCAAGCGUUAUCCGGAUUUAUUGGGUUUAAAGGGUGCGUAGGCGGCUUAUUAAGUCAGGGGUGAAAGACGGUGGCUCAACCAUCGCAGUGUCCUUGAUACUGAUGAGCUUGAAUACACUAGAGGUAGGCGGAAUGUGACAAGUAGCGGUGAAAUGCAUAGAUAUGUCACAGAACACCGAUUGCGAAGGCAGCUUACUAUGGUGUCAUUGACGCUGAGGCACGAAAGCUAGGGGAGUGAACGGGAUUAGAUACCCCGGUAAUCCUAGCCGUAAACACUGAACACUGGAGGAAGGGGGUUUCGGCCUUCUUUCUCGUAGCGAAAGCGUUAAGUGUUCCGCCUGGGGAGUAUGGUCGCAAGGCUGAAACUCAAAGGAAUUGACGG
rnacentral:rRNA from 1 species